rnacentral:rRNA from 1 species
GCAGCAGCCGCGGUAAGACGGAGGGAGCAAGCGUUGUCCGGAUUUACUGGGCGUAAAGCGCGCGUAGGCGGCUUGUUAAGUCGGCUGUGAAAUCGCUGGGCUCAACCCAGCAAUUGCAGUCGAUACUGGCAGGCUCGAGUCCGGGAGAGGGAAGCGGAAUUCCUGGUGUAGCGGUGGAAUGCGUAGAUAUCAGGAAGAACACCGGUGGCGAAGGCGGCUUCCUGGACCGGUACUGACGCUGAGGCGCGAAAGCUAGGGGAGCGAACGGGAUUAGAUACCCCGGUAGUCCUAGCCGUAAACGAUGGCCACUAGGUGUUGCGGGUAUCGACCCCUGCAGUGCCGAAGCUAACGCAUUAAGUGGCCCGCCUGGGGAGUACGGCCGCAAGGUUGAAACUUAAAGGAAUUGGCGGGGGA